rnacentral:rRNA from 1 species
UCUCUGAUGUUAGCGGCGGACGGGUGAGUAACACGUGGAUAACCUACCUAUAAGACUGGGAUAACUUCGGGAAACCGGAGCUAAUACCGGAUAAUAUUUUGAACCGCAUGGUUCAAAAGUGAAAGACGGUCUUGCUGUCACUUAUAGAUGGAUCCGCGCUGCAUUAGCUAGUUGGUAAGGUAACGGCUUACCAAGGCAACGAUGCAUAGCCGACCUGAGAGGGUGAUCGGCCACACUGGAACUGAGACACGGUCCAGACUCCUACGGGAGGCAGCAGUAGGGAAUCUUCCGCAAUGGGCGAAAGCCUGACGGAGCAACGCCGCGUGAGUGAUGAAGGUCUUCGGAUCGUAAAACUCUGUUAUUAGGGAAGAACAUAUGUGUAAGUAACUGUGCACAUCUUGACGGUACCUAAUCAGAAAGCCACGGCUAACUACGUGCCAGCAGCCGCGGUAAUACGUAGGUGGCAAGCGUUAUCCGGAAUUAUUGGGCGUAAAGCGCGCGUAGGCGGUUUUUUAAGUCUGAUGUGAAAGCCCACGGCUCAACCGUGGAGGGUCAUUGGAAACUGGAAAACUUGAGUGCAGAAGAGGAAAGUGGAAUUCCAUGUGUAGCGGUGAAAUGCGCAGAGAUAUGGAGGAACACCAGUGGCGAAGGCGACUUUCUGGUCUGUAACUGACGCUGAUGUGCGAAAGCGUGGGGAUCAAACAGGAUUAGAUACCCUGGUAGUCCACGCCGUAAACGAUGAGUGCUAAGUGUUAGGGGGUUUCCGCCCCUUAGUGCUGCAGCUAACGCAUUAAGCACUCCGCCUGGGGAGUACGACCGCAAGGUUGAAACUCAAAGGAAUUGACGGGGACCCGCACAAGCGGUGGAGCAUGUGGUUUAAUUCGAAGCAACGCGAAGAACCUUACCAAAUCUUGACAUCCUUUGACAACUCUAGAGAUAGAGCCUUCCCCUUCGGGGGACAAAGUGACAGGUGGUGCAUGGUUGUCGUCAGCUCGUGUCGUGAGAUGUUGGGUUAAGUCCCGCAACGAGCGCAACCCUUAAGCUUAGUUGCCAUCAUUAAGUUGGGCACUCUAAGUUGACUGCCGGUGACAAACCGGAGGAAGGUGGGGAUGACGUCAAAUCAUCAUGCCCCUUAUGAUUUGGGCUACACACGUGCUACAAUGGACAAUACAAAGGG